ACUAAGCGCACACCACCCUCUCUGCCUUAUCCCCCUCUCUCGUCACGUUCUGUCUCUCUCCCCUUCCUUCCUCCACUCCGCCCCCGCAAAAAUCCCCAAUCCCUCCUCACUCCGAUCCACUCGAUCGAGCCUUAGCCCCCCGCCCCCGCCCCGACCCAAUUCCGGCCGUUCCGAUCCGGUCAUCCCCGUUCCGUCCCCCGCAUGCGAGGCUCCGGCCGGCGGUAGCCUCGGACGGGCAUACAGGCAGGCAGGGCGGCGGCGGCCAUGGAGCCACGCAUCGGCAACAAGUUCCGCGUCGGCCGCAAGCUGGGGAGCGGCUCCUUCGGCGAGAUCUACCUCGGCACCAACGUGCAGACCAACGAGGAGGUCGUGAUCAAGCUCCUACCGAAACGCCAGAACUGCUCUCUUUGAUGGCAUUAAAGAAGGUGCAAUACGGGCACCAGCUUAUUCUUCACAUGAAAAUGAGUGAGCUAUGGAUGGAUUCCAAGAUCGAGUCAGCAUUCUCAAGAGGGGGUGAUCGACGCUGACUAGCGUGGCCCGUUGGGCGCUGUGCUCUUCAACCCGGUGAAGCCUGACGGCCACGUCACACAGAUGAUCGUCCGGGUGAUCGUGACGCCGAAGGUCGCCGGGGUGGAGGACCUCGACUCCACCGUCCGGGGGGAGGGAGGAUUCGGGUCCACCGGCGUCUGAACUCCGAGCCUUGGUAGAUAAAUCUAGAGAAGUGGUUUGUUUAGGUUGGUGGUGAACACUAAGGAUGGUACUCACGUUUCAAUGAUGGUUGUGUGCGUCUGAUGUUAAAUGGAUUAUUGUGAUCUCUUCAAGUUGAGAUGGUUCUGUGACCU